rnacentral:rRNA from 1 species
AUCUGAACUUAGACAGGACUACCC